CACAAGCUAUAGGCACACAAAAACACACGCGAAACAAACCGUCCCCACAGGUGGUACUGAGAUGCCCCUGUGUGUUGGGCGUAAAGUCCCAUUGAGAGGGAUGUGAGGGCACCACAGGAAGCUUUUCCACAGGAAGUCGCCAUCCUUCUCCCUCCACCACGGCGGCGCUUUCCGGGCUUGGCACAGUGCUUUGCCUUUGUGCAGGAAAAGAACGGGGAGCAUGCCNCCGAUGGCGGAGCCCCCACANGCAUGUUUAUGCUUUUGCACACCAUCAUUAUGCCCGUUUGUUUUUUUAACUGCCUGCCACGCUUUUUUUUUCCUGUGAGGAGAGAGCUUGUGGGNGG
rnacentral:misc_RNA from 1 species